rnacentral:rRNA from 1 species
AUUGAACGCUGGCGGCAGGCCUAACACCUGCAAGUCGAGCGAGCGGCGGACGGGUGAGUAAUGUCUGAGAAACUGCCAGAUGGGGGGGGAUAACUACUGGAAACGGUAGCUAUUACCGCUUACACUCAGAUGUGCCCAGAUGGGAGUAGCUAGUAGGUGGGGAAAUGGCUAACCUAGGCGACGAUCCCUAGCUGGUCUGAGAGGAUGACCAGCCACACUGGAACUGAGACACGGUCCAGACUCCUACGGGAGGCAGCAGUGGGGAAUAUUGCACAAUGGGCGCAAGCCUGAUGCAGCCAUGCCGCGUGUAUGAAGAAGGCCUUCGGGUUGUAAAGUACUUUCAGCGGGGAGGCGUUACCCGCAGAAGAAGCACCGGCUAACUCCGUGCCAGCAGCCGCGGUAAUAC